GAUGAACGCUGACAGAAUGCUUAAUACAUGCAAGUCUUUCGAACAGAUGUGCUUCCUCCUCCUCGCCACUGAGGACGGGAGAGUAACGCGAAACGAACUUAACCUGCCUUCAGGGAUAACAGACCUUAACGAAAGCUAAGCUAUGGCAAAGUCAGGUGUAGACCUGUCUAGUUUGACAAAAAGAGAUGCUGCUGGAGACACUUGUGUCCGAGUAGCUUGUUGGUGAGGUAGUUGCCCACCAAGGCGAUGAUAGGUAGCCGGCCGGAGAGGGUGGACGGCCACAAGGGGACUGAGAGACGGCACUUACGCCUACGGGAGGCAGCAGUGGGGAAUAUUGGACAAUGGGGGCAACCCUGAUCCAGCAAUUCUGUGUGCACGAUGAAGGUUUUCGGAUUGUAAAGUGCUUUCAGCAGGGAAGAAAAAAAUGACGGUACCUGCAGAAGAAGCGACGGCUAAAUACGUG
rnacentral:rRNA from 1 species